rnacentral:RNase_P_RNA from 1 species
GCGAGCCGGUGAGCAGUUACAGGACCAUGGUCGUGGUCUUGAGGAAACUCCACCCACAUGGCGGAGACCGUUGUGGCCGUAAGAGGCGCCAGGUGAGAGCCUGAGCAGGGGCGCAGAAACGAGACCUUGCCCGGUCGAUGGAUGACGAUGAUCUGCCCUCUCCCGGGGAGCUUUGAUGGACUAUCGGGUUGAGGAUGAAACGGGUCCCUGCAACGGUGUGAAAGGGGCAGUAGACGUCUAUGAUCCUCCGCUGGAGGCGCGGGUUCCCCGAUUAGACAGAUGCUGCUUAAAACAGAAGGUGGGUUACAGCCGGGACAC